UACAACAUAUUAGUGAGCCAACGUGUGGU
rnacentral:piRNA from 1 species